rnacentral:rRNA from 1 species
AGCGAACGCUGGCGGCAGGCUUAACACAUGCAAGUCGAGCGGGCACUUCGGUGUCAGCGGCAGACGGGUGAGUAACACGUGGGAACGUACCCUUUGGUUCGGAAUAACGCUGGGAAACUAGCGCUAAUACCGGAUGCGCCCUUUUGGGGAAAGGCUUGCUGCCGCAGGAUCGGCCCGCGUCUAAUUAGCUAGUUGGUGGGGUAAUGGCCUACCAAGGCGACGAUCAGUAGCUGGUCUGAGAGGAUGAUCAGCCACACUGGGACUGAGACACGGCCCAGACUCCUACGGGAGGCAGCAGUGGGGAAUAUUGGACAAUGGGCGCAAGCCUGAUCCAGCCAUGCCGCGUGAGUGAUGAAGGCCUUAGAAUUGUAAAGCUCUUUUGUCCGGGACGAUAAUGACGGUACCGGAAGAAUAAGCCCCGGCUAACUUCGUG